rnacentral:rRNA from 1 species
UAAUUGAAGAGUUUGAUCAUGGCUCAGAUUGAACGCUGGCGGCAGGCCUAACACAUGCAAGUCGGGCGGUAACAGAGAGAAGCUUGCUUCUCUGCUGACGAGCGGCGGACGGGUGAGUAAUGUAUGGGGAUCUGCCUGAUGGCGGGGGAUAACUACUGGAAACGGUAGCUAAUACCGCAUAAUGUCUGCGGACCAAAGCGGGGGACCUCCGGGCCUCGCGCCAUCAGAUGAACCCAUAUGGGAUUAGCUAGUAGGU